CGAAAGCCUGACGGAGCAAUACCGCGUGAGGGAGGAAGGCUCUUGGGUUGUAAACCUCUUUUCUCAGGGAAGAACACAAUGACGGUACCUGAGGAAUAAGCAUCGGCUAACUCCGUGCCAGCAGCCGCGGUAAUACGGAGGAUGCAAGCGUUAUCCGGAAUGAUUGGGCGUAAAGCGUCCGCAGGUGGCUAUGAAAGUCUGCUGUUAAAGAGUGAGGCUCAACCUCAUAAGAGCAGUGGAAACUACAUGGCUAGAGUGCGUUCGGGGUAGAGGGAAUUCCUGGUGUAGCGGUGAAAUGCGUAGAUAUCAGGAAGAACACCGGUGGCGAAAGCGCUCUGCUAGGCCGCAACUGACACUGAGGGACGAAAGCUAGGGGAGCG
rnacentral:rRNA from 1 species